CAGCCGCCACGGUAAUACGAAGGGGGCUAGCGUUGCUCGGAAUGACUGGGCGUAAAGGGCGCGUAGGCGGCGAUCAAAGUCAGGCGUGAAAUUCCUGGGCUCAACCUGGGGGCUGCGCUUGAUACUUGGUUGCUUGAGUGGGGAAGAGGGUCGUGGAAUUCCCAGUGUAGAGGUGAAAUUCGUAGAUAUUGGGAAGAACACCGGUGGCGAAGGCGGCGACCUGGUCCUUGACUGACGCUGAGGCGCGAAAGCGUGGAGAGCAAACAGGAUUAGAUACCCGCGUAGUCCCUGUCUCUUAUAC
rnacentral:rRNA from 1 species